AGAGUUUGAUCCUGGCUCAGAUUGAACGCUGGCGGCAUGCUUUACACAUGCAAGUCGAACGGCAGCACGAGUGCUUGCUCUUGGUGGCGAGUGGCGAACGGGUGAGUAAUACAUCGGAACGUGUCCUGAAGUGGGGGAUAACGCAUCGAAAGAUGUGCUAAUACCGCAUAUUCUCUAAGGAGGAAAGUAGGGGAUCGAAAGACCUUAUGCUUUUGGAGCGGCCGAUGUCUGAUUAGCUAGUUGGUGAGGUAAAUGCUUACCAAGGCGACGAUCAGUAGUUGGUCUGAGAGGACGACCAGCCACACUGGGACUGAGACACGGCCCAGACUCCUACGGGAGGCAGCAGUGGGGAAUUUUGGACAAUGGGCGCAAGCCUGAUCCAGCAAUGCCGUGUGAGUGAAGAAGGCCUUCGGGUUGUAAAGCUCUUUCAGUCGAGAAGAAAAGGUUGUGAUUAAUACUCACAAUCCAUGACGGUAUCGACAGAAGAAGCACCGGCUAACUACGUGCCAGCAGCCGCGGUAAUACGUAGGGUGCGAGCGUUAAUCGGAAUUACUGGGCGUAAAGGGUGCGCAGGCGGUUCUGUAAGUCAGAUGUGAAAUCCCCGGGCUUACCUGGGAAUUGCGUUUGAAACUACAGGGCUAGAGUGUAGCAGAGGGGGGUGGAAUUCCAUGUGUAGCAGUGAAAUGCGUAGAGAUAUGGAAGAACAUCGAUGGCGAAGGCAGCCCCCUGGGUUAACACUGACGCUCAGGCACGAAAGCGUGGGGAGCAAACAGGAUUAGAUACCCUAGUAGUCC
rnacentral:rRNA from 1 species